rnacentral:rRNA from 1 species
GUAGUUUGCCGGUCCUUCUUCUUCAGGUACAGUCAUUUAUUUCUUCCCUGAUAAAAUAAGUUUACAAUCCGAAAACCUUCUUCCCUCACGCGGCGUUGCUGGGUCAGGCUUGCGCCCAUUGCCCAAUAUUCCCCACUGCUGCCUCCCGUAGGAGUCUGGACCGUGUCUCAGUUCCAGUGUGGCCGAUCAGCCUCUCAGCUCGGCUACCCAUCGUCGGCUUGGUGGGCUGUUAUCUCACCAACUACCUAAUGGGACGCGAACCCCUCUAAAAGCGAUAAAUCUUUGACCUCUUCCCGAUGCCGGGUUGUGGUCUUAUGCGGUAUUAGCAGUUGUUUCCACCUGUUAUUCCCCACUCUUAGGCAGGUUGUUCACGCGUUACUCACCCGUGCGCCACUAGAAUUAUCAAUUCCAUCCGAAAACUUCCUUAAUAAUCCCCGUUCGACUUGCAUGUGUUAGGCACGCCGCCAGCGUUCGUCCUCGAGCCACUGAUCAAACUACUGA